AGCCUGGCACACCUGAGGAGGAGGAAGAGGUAUGUAGUUUUGACGACAAAGCAUCAUGAAGGCUUCACAAACUGGCCGAGUCCUGUGUCUUGGAACUGGAACUCCAAAGACGUGGGGCCUCAUCGGGAUUUGGUUGGUGAAUUGGGAACAGCUCUCCGGAAGAGGAACAUCCGCUAUGGACUAUACCACUCACUCUUAGAGUGGUUCCAUCCACUCUAUCUACUUGAUAAGAAAAAUGGCUUCAAAACACAGCAUUUUGUCAGUGCAAAAACAAUGCCAGAGCUGUACGACCUUGUUAACAGCUAUAAACCUGAUCUGAUCUGGUCUGAUGGGGAGUGGGAAUGUCCUGAUACUUACUGGAACUCCACAAAUUUUCUUUCAUGGCU
rnacentral:lncRNA from 1 species